rnacentral:rRNA from 1 species
UACGUAGGGUGCAAGCGUUGUCCGGAAUUACUGGGCGUAAAGGGCGCGUAGGCGGCAAUUCAAGUCAGCUGUGAAAUCUCCGAGCUUAACUCGGAACGGUCAACUGAUACUGUGCGGCUAGAGUGCAGAAGGGGCAACUGGAAUUCUUGGUGUAGCGGUGAAAUGCGCAGAUAUCAGGAGGAACACCUAUUGCGAAGGCAGCUCGCUGGGACGUAACUGACGCUGAGACGCGAAAGCGUGGGGAGCAAACAGG